UGCCAGCCGCCGCGGUAAUACGGAGGGGGUUAGCGUUGUUCGGAAUUACUGGGCGUAAAGCGCACGUAGGCGGAUUAGAAAGUUAGAGGUGAAAUCCCAGGGCUCAACCCCGGAACUGCCUCCAAAACUAUCAGUCUAGAGUUCGAGAGAGGUGAGUGGAAUUCCAAGUGUAGAGGUGAAAUUCGUAGAUAUUUGGAGGAACACCAGUGGCGAAGGCGGCUCACUGGCUCGAUACUGACGCUGAGGUGCGAAAGUGUGGGGAGCAAACAGGAUUAGAUA
rnacentral:rRNA from 1 species